rnacentral:rRNA from 1 species
UGGCAAACGGGUGAGUAAUACAUGGGUAACCUGCCCUUAAGACCGGGAUAACACCUUGAAAAGGGUGCUAAUACUGGAUAAGACCACAAGGCUGCGGCCUGGUGGUAAAAGUCAGCCUCUAUUUAUAAGCUUUCACUUAAGGAUGGGCUCAUGCGUCAUUAGCUAGUUGGUAGGGUAAUGGCCUACCAAGGCUGCGAUGGCUAGCCGGCCUGAGAGGGUGAUCGGCCACACUGGGAUUGAGAUACGGCCCAGACUCCUACGGGAGGCAGCAGUGGGGAAUUUUGCGCAAUGGGGGAAACCCUGACGCAGCAACGCCGCGUGGAGGAUGAAGUUUUUUGGAACGUAAACUCCUGUCAAAUGGGACGAAGUGUUAGCGGGUUAAUAGCUUGUUAACUUGACGGUACCGUUGGAGGAAGCCCCGGCUAACUCCGUGCCAGCAGCCGCGGUAAUACGGGGGGGGCAAGCGUUGUUCGGAAUUACUGGGCGUAAAGAGCGCGUAGGCGGCUAAAUAAGUCAGGCGUGCAAUCCUGUGGCUUAACCAUAGAACUGCGUUUAAAACUGUUUAGCUUGAGUAUAGGAGAGGGAAGUGGAAUUCCAAGUGUAACGGUGAAAUGCGUAGAUAUUUGGAGGAACACCAGUGGCGAAGGCGGCUUCCUGGACUAAUACUGACGCUAGGCGCGAAAGCUAGGGGAGCAAACGGGAUUAGAUACCCCGGUAGUCCUAGCUGUAAACGAUGGACACUAGGUGUAGGGAGACAUAAAUUCUUUCUGUGCCGUAGCUAACGCAUUAAGUGUCCCGCCUGGGGAGUACGGUCGCAAGAUUGAAACUCAAGGAAUUGACGGGGGCCCGCACAGCGGUGGAGCAUGUGGUUUAAUUCG